GAAGAUCAUCCAACAUGUUUCUCUUCAGUUGGACAUUUUCAUUAUUCAUCGGCAUUUCUUUUGCAAACACAAUAAAACCAUUAUCUUCUGAAAAGCAUGUUUUCAGAGGUGAAAAAGUGACUCUUACUUGUGACUACAGUGGCAAUGUAGAUAAUCUGCAGUGGUAUCGUCAAUAUCCUGGAUCUCGACCCGAGCACCUUAUUCUCGUCACAGAAUAUUCAGCACCUGAUCUUUCACUUCGUCUGUCAGCAAAAGCUUCAAAAGAUCUAAAACAAGUGACUCUUACAAUCUCCUCUGCUGAAGAAACAGAUUCUGCUCUGUAUUACUGUGCCCUGGAGCCCACAGUGACAGGAAACACAUGAACACUGUACAAAAACCUGCCAUAACCACUCUUAUGUUAACUUUGGUUUGUAAACCUAAGGAGAAAUAGUUAUGGUCAUCAGAGAAUAAAAAAGUAAUUAGUUUGUUGUUUCACACUUUACUCACUUAGCCCAGACAGGGGUGCUGUGCACUAAGAAUUACAAUGCUCCUCAUGCUUAUAAUGAUCUCAAAAUUCACCACACAACUUUCUGAAUAAUAUACAGAGUACAGUAGCUUAGCAUGAUGGUUAAUUAAAACAGAAAGCUAUUCAUCCACAGUUGAUCUAUUCAUCACUGUUUUCUUGUCAAUAAACAAUUUUGUAAACAGCCGGUAUGCAGCAGCAGCACUAUGUACUGUGUGUGUUACAAGUAAACUUCAUUUACGUAAAAAAAAAAAAAAAAAAAACUAAGAUCAAAAAUGUUUCAUUUGCCACAGGGUGGAGCUCUAGGCUGAGAUCACAGUGCUCAAGAAAGAAUGCAGAACCUGAUUUUACCAAGUGAGACAUGUUCCUGGGACAACAUCAUUGUUGACCCUGGAACAACAUUGUGAUUAACCAAUCAGAUUUUUAGAACCAGUUUAUAGAUUUUGUGAAGUUUACGCUUAAAAUCAGUGUUUGGUGCUUGUACAUCAGUGUCAUUCAUCUAUCAUUUCCUCUGAUUUUAGGGAUUACUCAUGGUUAAGGUUAGGUUUAGGUGUAGGGAUAUUGUUAAGAAUAUAUUUUUGGAGUAAAAUGUUGUUCCAGGGUCAACAAAAUAUGUUGACCUAGGAACACAUCGAACUUGGCAAAAUCAGGACGUGCAGAAAGAAUAGUCAUUUCUUUCAGCCAUGCUGUUUUGUGCACAGAUAUUUUUGGUGCUUGCAUAUGAUUUAUGGCAAUGAAAAUAACUAAAUAUAGUGAUACCACUUUGUGUGACUAAUACAAAAGAAAUCAUCCACUUAAAAUUUAAUUCUAAGAUUUACUCACACUAAUGUUGCACAAAACCCAUAUGAUGUUCAUCUGUAAAAAAAUGAAAAAUAAACAAACAAACAAAAAAAAACAACAUUUGAAAUAAACAUUUGAUAAACCUAUUAAUCAAUUGUUACAUUACUCAGUUUACACAUCCCUUAGAAGUGUUUCUGGAACAUUUCUUGUUUGUUUUUGACAGUUUUCACUAGUGAAAAUGUAUGUAUUUCUAAUAAAACAAUACAGGUACAUUCUAUUUGACCUAAUGUCUACCCAA
rnacentral:lncRNA from 1 species